rnacentral:lncRNA from 1 species
CAAAAUUAAUAGGCACUCUUCUUAGACCAUAACGAAUGAUAUUUAAAAUUAUUAUUUCAUAAUUAUAUUGAAUAGUUGUAUCCGAGAUAAUAUUAAUAAAGAUAAAACUAGUCCCAGAAAGAACUAAUCGUCUACUCUCCGAAGAUUUUCACUUGUUUUUGUAAUGAUUAAAGAUGAAGAAUUAAAAUGUAUGGAACAUCAAAGUUAACUUUAAAUUGCAUUCAAUUCAAAUACAAUAUAAAUCGUCCUCAAAUAAAUGUCGUAAAAAUAAAUGUUAUUACUGCUUAUAAUCAUGUGAUAUCGGAAAUUAUCAAUGGUAGGAUUGCAUGGUUAGGCCACGCUUGCCCGAAUAUCACUUGCCUGAUCCCCAGUUGCUCGAAUCUUACUUGCCUGAUUCCCACUUGCCCGAAUCUCAUUUGCCUGAUUCCCAUUUGCUCGAUUUCCAAUUUCCCGAACCCGUUUGCCCGGUUCCCACUUGCUCGAGUGCUGUUUGCCUGAUUCCCAAUUUCUCGAAUCUCGUUUGCCCGAACCCGCUUGCUCGAAUUCCUAUCUGCCCGAAUCUUAUUUGCCCGAGCUCUCUUUUCCUUGAAUCCCAUUU